AGGACCAUAGCUCAGUGGCAGAGCAUGUGCUUUGCAUGCAGAAGGUUGCAGGUUAAAUCCCUUGUCUGAAACCCUA